AGAAAGGGAUGAUAGUAUUGUAGC
rnacentral:siRNA from 1 species